rnacentral:RNase_P_RNA from 2 species
UGGAGCGGGUGCAUGAUCGCUCGGGUCUUUAAGGCCUGAGAGGAAAGUCCGAACUCCGCAGGGCAGGAUGGUUCGUAACGCGAACGCCGGGUGACUGGCGGAAAGUGCCACAGAAAAUAUACCGCCGGGUCUUCGGAUUCGGUAAGGGUGAAAUGGCGAGGUAAGAGCUCACCGCCUGCACAGGUGACUGUCAGGGCAGGGUAAACCCCAUCCGGAGCAAGACCAAAUAGGAAGACGUCCCGCAGGAAGUGCCUUUGAGGUACAUUUUGUGGGUAUGGUUGCCCGCCAGAAGUCUUCGGGUAGGUUGCAAGAGGUGCCGGGUGACCGGCAUUCCAGUGAAAUGAUCAUGAUUGUACAGAAUUCGGCUUAUAGCCCGCUCCAUUUU